rnacentral:miRNA from 1 species
GUGUGCGGAGAUGCUUCCG